AUCCAGCUGACGAGUCCCAAAAUAGGACGAAAUGCGCGUCCUGGAU
rnacentral:hammerhead_ribozyme from 1 species